AUUUUCUUGGCGCCUCCGAGAAAUGAAUGGCUCAGUUUCUCCUGGCUGACUGUGUUUGCCUGCUUCUAUGUAUGACAACCAUGUUCAUGCAGUACCAGAAGAGGCCAGAAGAGGGCAACGGAUCCCCUGGAGCUGGAGUUACAGACACCUGGGAGCGGCUAUGCAGGUGCCCGGAAUGAAAUCCAAGUCCUCUGCAAGAGCAGCCGAUGUUCUUAACCACAGAGCCACCUCUCCCAUCCCAAAUAUUUCCAUUUUUUCAGUGAUUUGACAAAUAACAGUUGGUUCAACACAGCGGGAGCAAUAUCUCUAGUGAUUAAAUUGAGUGAUCCCCGAGCAAUGGGGGUGCUCCCUAAUGCAUGCUACAAGGCCAGAAUUCUGCUAGAAACCAAACAGAUAGAAGAAAGGAAAACCAUCAAGCCAUGGAAAUAAAAUCCAGCCAUGUACAGUUAUCUACCAUGAGCAACUCGGAUUCAUCCCAAGAGUACAAGGAUGGCUCAGUAUCUGAAGAUGAAUCCAGGGAAACCCUUUAAACAGGAAAGUAAAGAAUCUAGAACACCCACAAGAAGUUCCUGAAACUGACCAGAUUGUCUAGGCCCCUCCCUGUCAGAGUAAGAAAUAAAACUGGAGGGUUCCUCGGUAAGGGAAGGAAGGUAAGCCGCAAAGAAGAUGCUCAGACAAGACAAGCCACAAAGAAGACUCUGAGACCAGACCAGCUGCCUAGAAGACGCAGAAACCAGCCACGCUGCCUGGGAGAAGUUUAGAGCAACUUUGGCACCUGGACAGGACACUCUCCAACCUGCUGAGCUGCCUGCAGGCUGUGCAAUGUGCUCCAGGUCCCCAGCUUUGUGAGCUGUCACCUGUACUGGGAUAGGCUUUGGUGAUGCAGCUGUCUUUGAGUCAUUUUUACUCCUAUAAGUGACCCCAGUAAAACUCGUUGCUUCACA